rnacentral:lncRNA from 10 species
CACUAUGUGGGUCUGUUUCUAGAAUAGCAAGCAUUCAGCAUCCCUGAGCCUGGCAUUUGAAAUGCCAGUAGCACCCUCCAAUCAUUGUGACAAUCAGUGUCCCCACAUAUUUUCAAAAGCUCUUGUGUUCUAUCCAAAGUCAUCUUGCAUCAACUCAAAAGGAGAGAUUCUGUGAGGGUAACCUACAGGGAAAUUUCCCAGCUUUGUGUGAAGAAUCCAGUGGUUGAGUGUCUAUCUGCAUCCUGAGGAACCAUGUCCUCUUUAUAUACCCGAAGUAAAGAAUUCACUCGGAAUAGGAAAUCUCAGUCUGAUUCUCCCCCAGCAUCUCCCUCCCCGACUGCCAAGACGCUCCG